rnacentral:rRNA from 1 species
AUUGAACGCUGGCGGCAUGCCUUACACAUGCAAGUCGAACGGUAACGGGCCCUCGGGUGCCGACGAGUGGCGAACGGGUGAGUAAUGUAUCGGAACGUACCUUUCAGUGGGGGAUAACGUAGCGAAAGUUACGCUAAUACCGCAUAUUCUGUGAGCAGGAAAGCAGGGGAUCGCAAGACCUUGCGCUGAUUGAGCGGCCGAUAUCAGAUUAGCUAGUUGGUGAGGUAAAGGCUCACCAAGGCGACGAUCUGUAGCGGGUCUGAGAGGAUGAUCCGCCACACUGGAACUGAGACACGGUCCAGACUCCUACGGGAGGCAGCAGUGGGGAAUUUUGGACAAUGGGGGCAACCCUGAUCCAGCCAUGCCGCGUGAGUGAAGAAGGCCGUCGGGUUGUAAAGCUCUUUCGGCCGGGAAGAAAUCGUAUGGGUUAAUACCCUGUGCAGAUGACGGUACCGGCAUAAGAAGCACCGGCUAACUACGUGCCAGCAGCCGCAGUAAGAC